rnacentral:rRNA from 1 species
UACGGAGGGUGCGAGCGUUGUCCGGAAUCACUGGGCGUAAAGGGCGCGUAGGCGGCGCGGGGAGUCAACGGUGAAAGCUCGGCGCUCAACGCCGAGUCGGCCGUCGAUACUCCCGUGCUCGAGCAAUGUAGAGGCAGGUGGAAUUCCGGGUGUAGCGGUGGAAUGCGUAGAGAUCCGGAAGAACACCGGUGGCGAAGGCGGCCUG